GACGAACCGAGCGAACGUUGUUCGGAAUCACUGGGCGUAAAGGGCGCGUAGGUGGCGACCCAAGUCGAUGGUGAAAGCUCGCCGCUCAACGGCGAGUCGGCCACCGAUACUGGGUUGCUUGAGCACUGUAGAGGCUAAUGGAAUUCCGGGUGUAGCGGUGGGAUGCGUAGAGAUCCGGAAGAACACCGGUGGCGAAGGCGGUUAGCUGGGCAGUUGCUGACACUGAGGCGCGACAGCGUGGGGAGCAAACAGG
rnacentral:rRNA from 1 species